rnacentral:rRNA from 1 species
CCUACGGGUGGCAGCAGUGAGGAAUAUUGGUCAAUGGGCGAGAGCCUGAACCAGCCAAGUCGCGUGAGGGAGUACUGCCCUAUGGGUUGUAAACCUCUUUUGUCGGGGAGCAAAAGCCGGACGUUUCCGGCUGUGAGAGUACCCGAAGAAAAAGCAUCGGCUAACUCCGUGCCAGCAGCCGCGGUAAUACGGAGGAUGCGAGCGUUAUCCGGAUUUAUUGGGUUUAAAGGGUGCGCAGGCGGAUUUUUAAGUCAGCGGUAAAAUCGUGGGGCUCAACCCCAUCCAGCCGUUGAAACUGGGGAUCUAGAGUGUGCGAGAGGUAUGCGGAAUGCGUGGUGUAGCGGUGAAAUGCAUAGAUAUCACGCAGAACCCCGAUUGCGAAGGCAGCAUACCGGUGCACAACUGACGCUCAGGCACGAAAGCGUGGGUAUCGAACAGGAUUAGAUACCCGUGUAGUC